GUGGCUUCUAUUUAUUUUUAGAUCCAGAAAUUUGAACAAAAAUAGAAUGUGAGUUUCUGUGAUGGGAAGAAGCCUAAACAGAAAUGUUCCCCUCACUAUCCACUGCUUCAAUUCGAUGAUCCAUUUUGGACGUCGGGGAACUACAUCC